CGACCCUGCCAGGACUCGAACCUGAAAUCUUCGAUCCGAAGUCCGACGCCUUAUCCAUUAGGCCACAAGGCC
rnacentral:tRNA from 1 species